UCGAGUGUGCAUAUUGUUGGAGCAAAAAGAAAUGCUUUAUUUGACUGAUCAUAAUGUAGUCGUCUGCCAACAUUUCUAAGAAAAGAACCUUUGGCUUUUUGUAGGCAGUGCCGCUUUGAGUAAAGCUGAAGCUGCUGCCAUGUUUUGUUUGUAGGGCAGGAUUAACUUGGCAUGACAGCAAUAAGAGGUCCAUUGGGAUGCCAUUAGAUAUUACCAUCUGGCUGGCAGAUCCACGGCUGACUGCAUGGCAAGAAAUUCACCAAUCACAGAUCUUCAUGAGACUGCAGGAAGACUCCCUUCAAAUGUUUCAACCACAAAUAUGCUUAAGAGAUAAAGUAAACGUGACUCAAAUGUACAUUUGGUGCUCUGUGUUAUAUUUAAAAAGUUGUAUUAAAGGCAAAUAUAAAUUCUU